rnacentral:rRNA from 1 species
UACGAAGGGAGCUAGCGUUGUUCGGAAUCACUGGGCGUAAAGCGCACGUAGGCGGGUUUGUCAGUCAGGGGUGAAAUCCCGGAGCUCAACUCCGGAACUGCCCUUGAUACAGCAAGCCUUGAGUCCGGAAGAGGUAGGUGGAAUUCCUAGUGUAGAGGUGAAAUUCGUAGAUAUUAGGAAGAACACCGGUGGCGAAGGCGGCCUGCUGGGCGGCGACUGACGCUGAGGCGCGACAGCGUGGGGAGCAAACAGG